AGGCUCCGGCCUACCUCACCCGGCCGCAUGGCUUCCCUCCCCCAGCCAGCCCCAGCUGGGCUGGGGAACUCUGAGCUCCUCCACUGACUGGGACCAAGAGAGAGCUCUCCUGGGAGUUCUUGCUUUUAACUCCCUGUAUUCUCAGAGGCGGUCCACACCUUCAGUGGCCAAACCAGGUGCCAAUAUUCCAAUCCAAGCACUGAUUGGUUUGACCACAACCUCCCAAAAAACUCACUUCCUUCUUAACCUAUGACAGGUUGGGAGAAAAUUUGCCUUGGUAUCAUUUUGUCACAGUACGUAUCAUUUUUAAAGUAACCCCAAAACCACAUAGUUAGCAUGUGAUAGCUCUGAAUCCAUGUGUCUGCCUUGCAGUGGAAGUUAAAGAUCCAUUAAAUCCUCACCUUAUUAACCAUAAAGCAAACUGGAUAACAGCCACAGCAGCCUUAGCUAUGGUUAGCCUGUGUUCCCAGGGAUGUCGGGGUGCUGCUGAUGGGGCAGAAGGAAGAGCUCCAGGCCCUCUGUGAGGCCCCUCAAGCUCUGAGUGAAAACAACAGCCCCUCCCACAUAAGCAUAUUUGUUCAGGUGAUGUUCCAGGGAAGAGCUGCAGAACUACUUUCAUUUGCUGGCUCAGAAGAGCCUGUGUCUCUUUAAGAUCUCCAGAUCCCUUGGAAGUUUGGCUUCCUCGCUUUGCCUGCAUCUCUGUGGAACUGAUGCGAUGCAAAUCCAGAGCCCUGGGACACACAGGCCCCUCCUGCUGUUCUCUUCCACGCCGUGUUUUGUGCACAGACACAGAGGAACGAGGGCAGAUCAGGCUGGAAUGGUCCCUGUGCUGAAGGUCCAGUUCCACAACACUGUGCAGUUACAGAUCUUGCUGAGCACCCUGGAGCCCCUGGACUUUGGAAGAGCCAACCUGAGGAUGCUCUGAACCCAGCUGUGAGGGAUUCCAUGGCAAGCAUCCACAGAGGGCAAAGGAGCUUGGAAAUGCUGGACGGUUUCAAGAACAGCUUCCUGAAAGCACAGCAGUGCUCCAUCCCUUCACAGGAUCAGGAAGAGGGCAGAACCAGAGACCAUCUGGGCUUAACAGAGAGCUUUGGGUGUGCCUAAGAGCAAAUGAAGCAGCAGCACGGUGCCCAAGAUUCAGAAGUGCAACCGUGCCAGUGCCCGGAGCCCUGUCAGACAGUGCUGGGAUCUUGGGUGUGGUUCUGGUCCCCACAGCUGAGGAAUGGCAGCCCCAGCCUCAGACCCAGUCAGAAAUCUAAGCAAGUGAGACCAGAGGGAGGGCACCCUUCCAGUUUCUCUGGGGCAUGGCCGCCAAAUAACCCCUGCUGCUUCUUCCUCCGCCUGUGUUUGGGGUGUGAUGCUGGCAGAGCCAGCUAGGUUGUGCUCUCUGUUCCAAAGCCUGUUGGGUGCAGGCAUGAAAAGCACUGUGUGCACAGUGGAGAGUCCUGGAAGGUGCUGGCAAGAGCAUCCUGCGGGGACAGGGCUCUGGUGUCUGGCUGGAAAAGCCUGGUUUUGCUGCUGUGACCACAGGCAGGAGUUGAGGCAGCUGAAGAGGCAGCGAGCAGCCUGUGUUUGUAGAGGGCCUGGGGCUGCACGCCUGAACCUCCACCUGGAAACUGACUUGGGGAAUACGAGCUAGAGCUGGAGUGCCUGUCCUGAAAGGACCUGAAGUCAUUCAGCCUUGCCAGCUUUUCUAAAGGUGUUCCCCAGGAAAGCUACACAUUUGGGGAAAUGCCUUUGGAGGAAAGGGGCUUGCUUCUCAAGGAAAGUGCUUCCCAGGGAGCUCCCAGUGAGGUAGGUAAAAGUGUCCCUUUUGGCUCUCUGUGCUCCUUUCAGUCCUUGAGGCCUGUUGCACUUGGCAGAGGGGCAGGGCAGUGAAUAGCGGGUUUGGCAUCUGCCUGGACCUGUGGAGACCAAGCCAAGCACCUGCAGCAGGGUGUCUUCCCCCACUUUGGACAGAGGUGUGAGCAGGAGAAUCUCUGUCCAGCCACAAGCUCCAAAACUCUCUGAGAUCUGUGAAUUAAAAGUCUUUAUGCACACACUUUUCACAUCUUCCCUGUCUGCUGUGUUUCAACUCUUGGCAAGAUGCAUUUGCCUCUAGCUUGGUGGAAGCUGCUGUGGCCCAGGGCCAGCACAGAGCUGGGCUGGGUGGGUCAGGCAGCAUGGCAAGUCUUGGUGUGUCCCUGGCCUCAGAAAAGGCUUGGAAGCUUUGCCUCCCCAGGUGUCCUGCUCAUUGGCUCUCCCUGUGCAUCUUGGAGAGAACAAGGUAGGCAUUUCUGGCAGCUGGGCAUCAGCAGGCUUUAAACUGGGGCCGUGUUGUGGAGCAAGCCCAGCUGAGAUACCCUGAGAGGAGCCCAGUGCUCCUUGCUCCCCUCUGCUGACUCAUGAGCGUUUGUCUGGUUUUGGGAUGACCCUGGCUGUGUCAGAGGGUGCUACGUGGACACGAGACAGCCGGUCCUGUCCCGCUGGGUCCCAGCAGUGCCUCGCAGCAGUCCUGCAUCCACAUCAGGAUGCUGGCCAAGAGAGGUCUUGGAAGCUGAGGCAGCUGAUUUUAAGC